rnacentral:rRNA from 1 species
UGGGGAAUCUUCCGCAAUGGACGAAAGUCUGACGGAGCAACGCCGCGUGAGUGAUGACGGCCUUCGGGUUGUAAAGCUCUGUUAAUCGGGACGAAAGGCCUUCUUGCGAAUAGUUAGAAGGCUUGACGGUACCGGAAUAGAAAGCCACGGCUAACUACGUGCCAGCAGCCGCGGUAAUACGUAGGUGGCAAGCGUUGUCCGGAAUUAUUGGGCGUAAAGCGCGCGCAGGCGGAUUGGUCAGUCUGUCUUAAAAGUUCGGGGCUUAACCCCGUGAUGGGAUGGAAACUGCCAAUCUAGAGUAUCGGAGAGGAAAGUGGAAUUCCUAGUGUAGCGGUGAAAUGCGUAGAUAUUAGGAAGAACACCAGUGGCGAAGGCGACUUUCUGGACGAAAACUGACGCUGGGGCGCGAAAGCCAGGGGAGCGAACGGGAUUAGAUACCCCGGUAGUCCUGGCCGUAAACGAUGGGUACUAGGUGUAGGAGGUAUCGACCCCUUCUGUGCCGGAGUUAACGCAAUAAGUACCCCGCCUGGGGAGUACGACCGCAAGGUUG